AAGUCGUAACAAGGUUUCCGUAGGUGAACCUGCGGAAGGAUCAUUACCGAGUUUUCGGGCUUCGGCUCGACUCUCCCACCCUUUGUGAACGUACCUCUGUUGCUUUGGCGGCUCCGGCCGCCAAAGGACCUCCAAACUCCAGUCAGUAAACGCAGACGUCUGAUAAACAAGUUAAUAAACUAAAACUUUCAACAACGGAUCUCUUGGUUCUGGCAUCGAUGAAGAACGCAGCGAAAUGCGAUAAGUAAUGUGAAUUGCAGAAUUCAGUGAAUCAUCGAAUCUUUGAACGCACAUUGCGCCCCUUGGUAUUCCGGGGGGCAUGCCUGUUCGAGCGUCAUUACAACCCUCAAGCUCUGCUUGGAAUUGGGCACCGUCCUCACUGCGGACGCGCCUCAAAGACCUCGGCGGUGGCUGUUCAGCCCUCAAGCGUAGUAGAAUACACCUCGCUUUGGAGUGGUUGGCGUCGCCCGCCGGACGAACCUUCUGAACUUUUCUCAAGGUUGACCUCGGAUCAGGUAGGGAUACCCGCUGAACUUAA
rnacentral:rRNA from 1 species